AGAUGUUCAACCUAUUUCUAGGUACCUAGAGCAGCGAAUCUUGCUGUCAGAGUGGUGCUAUCUGUCAAAAAACUACUGAAAGUGAAGCAGCAAUUUUUAGAUAUCUUCCAUAAUGAGAAAUACCCAACAGAGUUCCCAUACAGAUCGAAGGUGAUACUUCUGUUUCAAAGAAUUGAAGGUGUAGAUGUAUGCCUCUUUGGAAUGUAUGUCCAGGAGUAUGGUUCAGAAUGUAGUCACCCAAAUCAACGUUGUGUAUAUAUCUCGUAUCUUGAUUCUGUGAAGUACUUUAGACCGGAGAUAAAAACUGCAUCUGGUGAAGCUCUUCGUACCUUUGUUUACCAUCAAAUAUUGAUAGGAUACCUU